rnacentral:tRNA from 1 species
GGCCCGUGGCCGGGCUCAGGGCCAUCGCCAGAUUGGCGGUCAUCAGCUCGUGUACCGGUUGACCGGGUGGUUCGGGUUCACCGCGGGUUGC